UCAUCAGCCGCCGCGGCGGCGCCGGGCGGCUCUUUUUCCUCUCGCUCUUCCCUUCGCCGCCUCCAGUCGUUGCCCCGCCCCUGCGCGGCCGCGCUCGCGCCGCGCCGCCCCCUCCCCCCACCCCUUUGCGCCGCGCCGCGCGCACGGGAGGCUCUAACGGUCACGCGCGGCGGCCGUUAGGGCCUCCCGUCUGCGCGGCGCCGCGGCGGAUGGCGAGAUGUGAGGCGGCGGUGUGACCCCGGGGCGGGAAGGCCGGGUCAUGCUCCCGUCGUUUUUGCCUCGAAUAAACUCGACAAACUAAGUGGCAGGAGAGCGGUAAGGCUUCGCCGCGAAAAGCACCACCUUCUUCUGUGGCGCGGCUUGGCUUCUGCGCGUCCGGAGGUGGCGAACGUGACAGCUCAAGCCUCAGCUUGACCCCUCCGUGAAAUAACAUUUACCUUUUCCUAUUGUCUCCUUUUAACCAGUUCAGUAGCAGUUUAUAUCCUCCUGUGAAUGCAACUGCUUCUUCUGAAUACCUCAAAUUUCGCGUGAACACCUCUAUCAGUGUGGUCUUGUGAGUAAAGAAAGUAAAGAAAAUCGAGACAUAUUCAGAAUUUAACAAGAGCAGCGUUAGCCUGGAAGAACUGCUUAGAAUUGCAGGAGCCCUAUCCACCAAGGGACAGCACAGCUAUAUAGGCAGAAGCUUUGGUUUCAGAACACAGAACAUUUUUCCCAGGGACAACGAAUUCAUUUGGAAGCGUAAUUUCCCAAGGAUUUGGUGCUGGCCUAACUCAGCCUCCUGUUACGAGUUUUACUGUUGACUUCAGUAGGAGCACAAAUAGGUGGGUGACAUUCCUGGUCAAGCAACAACUAUCACAUAAAGUAGACCUGAUCAGAAUAAUUUAUGGC
rnacentral:lncRNA from 1 species